CCAAAGGCUCUUUUAAGAGCAAUCCACAUUGCAAUAAGAGUAUUCU
rfam:Salmo salar isolate Sally breed double haploid chromosome ssa15, whole genome shotgun sequence.